UACGUAGGGUGCAAGCGUUGUCCGGAAUUAUUGGGCGUAAAGAGCUUGUAGGCGGUUUGUCGCGUCUGCUGUGAAAUUUCGGGGCUCAACCCCGAACUUGCAGUGGGUACGGGCAGACUAGAGUGUGGUAGGGGAGACUGGAAUUCCUGGUGUAGCGGUGAAAUGCGCAGAUAUCGGGAGGAACACCAAUGGCGAAGGCAGCUUGCUGGGACGGUACUGACGCUGAGGCGCGAAAGCGUGGGGAGCAAACAGG
rnacentral:rRNA from 1 species